rnacentral:rRNA from 1 species
AUUGAACGCUGGCGGCAUGCCUUACACAUGCAAGUCGAACGGCAGCACGGGAGCAAUCCUGGUGGCGAGUGGCGAACGGGUGAGUAAUAUAUCGGAACGUGCCCAGUCGUGGGGGAUAACGUAGCGAAAGCUACGCUAAUACCGCAUACGAUCUAUGGAUGAAAGCGGGGGAUCGCAAGACCUCGCGCGAUUGGAGCGGCCGAUAUCAGAUUAGGUAGUUGGUGGGGUAAAGGCUCACCAAGCCGACGAUCUGUAGCUGGUCUGAGAGGACGACCAGCCACACUGGGACUGAGACACGGCCCAGACUCCUACGGGAGGCAGCAGUGGGGAAUUUUGGACAAUGGGCGCAAGCCUGAUCCAGCAAUGCCGCGUGCAGGAUGAAGGCCUUCGGGUUGUAAACUGCUUUUGUACGGAACGAAACGGCGAGCUCUAAUACAGUUCGCUAAUGACGGUACCGUAAGAAUAAGCACCGGCUAACUACGUGCCAGCCACCGCCGUAA